UGCACUGAAAUCGUGGACGCUGCCAAAAAAUGACACCUGCUUGUGUCGAGAUAAUCUAUCAUCUUUCAAAAAGAUAUUGUAUCAUGUUAACUCUUAAAUCCACUCACAACCAUAAGGUGCAGUAAUCUAAAGCCGAACAAUGCGUUAAAUCAGCUUUUCUAACAAAGCUCUAUAACAGAACAAAUUAUGCACAACAACAAUGUACAAAAGAAAGAGAAAACUCUAAACUUCUCUUUGGCAAAUCGUUGCUCGAUUGUAGGUUGCCUUUCACUUAAAGUUACCAAAGAAAUGUAAAAGAAUCAACAACAAGUUGCAACAUAAAUGAUAGAGCAACAAACUGGAAUUCUGUUGUAGAGCUCCGUAUCUGAAAAUGGGAAGCGAGGUGAUUCUGGAAAAAAUGGGAAGGGAGGCCCAAUCAGUUUACUGAAAAUCAAGAAAUUGGAAUUCUUUAUUACAAAUGCACUUCUGAAGAAUGAAUUGUACGACCAGUUUCGCAAAGGAGCUCAUUUUGCCUAAUAUAAAAGUUAAACACCGGUAUCUAUAAAGUUUGUAGAAACUAUGCUCCAUCCGAAUUAGGAUUUUCAAUCAUGAAUUUCGUGAGCACAUAGUAACCAUGCACAUGCAACGCACGUGUAACCAUAUGACCGAGGAAUGCAUUUUUUUCCAGCAUCUUUACUCCAUGUUUUAUUCUAGUGCGUUAACUGAUCAUGAGCUCUUAUUGUAGCGCGCCAACUGAUCCUCUUACACAUGGAAUUUAAUCACAACAACAUUAAUUUCAUACAAAUGUCGUCAGAUAUUACUGUAUUAAGAACUGUAGAAAUAUAUAAUUUUUAGCCAUCAGGAUCAGAAACUAUACCUGGAAUGCAGAAUUGUUAGGUGACGCCUCCAUAGCCAAAUCAUAGUCCCACACUCUCGCUACUUCCCAUAAGAUCAUAGUUCAGAAAGAAAAAAUGUUCAGUCCGUUAAAUGCGGCCUCAAACCUUACAGACAAAUCUGUUAACAAUCAACUAAAUUCAUGUUAACAAAAGAAAAAGUCUUACAUCUCUAUCAACAGAACUUGGGAGCAAGCAUGAAUCUUUGGCCACUAAUAAAUAUGAACUUAAAAGAUAGUAAAUCAGUACAGGGGAGAUGUAACCUUGAAGAAGAUGCUGAAUCAGCUGUGAAACAACCCUCUUGUAUCCUCUGUAUAACCCAAAAGUUCUGUAAUAGUCACAUAGAACAAAUAUCAAACAUUUGGUGUGCACUAACAAAUAUAGUUAACCAUCAGUUUCUGUACGUUCAUAAGGAUAUAAGUUCAAUCAGUCUGUUACUUCUGAUCUUAUGAGCUGAAGAGUGGCGCACAGAGCUGAAAAGACCAAUUCCGUCAGCAACAGAGCCACUGAAUAGGCAUCCGACGAACGCUCCCCCCAAGCAUAUGCUCACCACGAAAAUCGGCAGCAAAACGAACGGAAUGCGCCCAAAGGGGAUCGACGGGGCUGUCGCACGGACCUGGGUCAGCAGAGGAGAACGGUAGGCGGCCACGGUGCCCCACGC
rnacentral:lncRNA from 1 species